AACGAACGCUGGCGGCAUGCCUAACACAUGCAAGUCGAACGAGACCUUCGGGUCUAGUGGCGCACGGGUGCGUAACGCGUGGGAACCUGCCCUUAGGUUCGGAAUAACUCCCCGAAAGGGGUUCUAAUACCGGAUAAUCUCUUCGGACCAAAGAUUUAUCGCCUUUGGAUGGGCCCGCGUUGGAUUAGCUAGUUGGUAGGGUAAAAGCCUACCAAGGCGACGAUCCAUAGCUGGUCUGAGAGGAUGAUCAGCCACACUGGGACUGAGACACGGCCCAGACUCGUACGGGAGGCAGCAGUGGGGAGUAUUGGACAAUGGGCGAAAGCCUGAUCCAGCAAUGCCGCGUGAGUGAUGAAGGCCUUAGGGUUGUAAAGCUCUUUUACCCGGGAUGAUAAUGACAGUACCGGGAGAAUAAGCGCCGGCUAACUCCGUG
rnacentral:rRNA from 1 species